rnacentral:rRNA from 1 species
GACGAACGCUGGCGGCGUGCUUAACACAUGCAAGUCGAACGGAAAGGCCCUGCUUUUGUGGGGUGCUCGAGUGGCGAACGGGUGAGUAACACGUGAGUAACCUGCCCUUGACUUUGGGAUAACUUCAGGAAACUGGGGCUAAUACCGGAUAGGAGCUCCUGCUGCAUGGUGGGGGUUGGAAAGUUUCGGCGGUUGGGGAUGGACUCGCGGCUUAUCAGCUUGUUGGUGGGGUGGUGGCUUACCAAGGCUUUGACGGGUAGCCGGCCUGAGAGGGUGACCGGCCACAUUGGGACUGAGAUACGGCCCAGACUCCUACGGGAGGCAGCAGUGGGGAAUAUUGCACAAUGGGCGGAAGCCUGAUGCAGCAACGCCGCGUGCGGGAUGACGGCCUUCGGGUUGUAAACCGCUUUCGCCUGUGACGAAGCGUGAGUGACGGUAAUGGGUAAGAAGCACCGGCUAACUACGUG